UUUUAUUAUUUGAGUAAAGUAUAAACAUGAGUAGAAACACUUAGCUGGAUAAAUGGGGGUGCUCUCCCCCAAGCUGGAUUUUGACGUAAUUUCUUCUGAUCUAGCUAUCAGGUGGUGGAGGUGUAUUUGAAUGUCGGCAGCACCCUGACAGCGAUUAGAAUGUCCUCCUUCUGCUAGUCUUCUUUGAUCCUUAAAUUCUGUGUAGCUCAAAUAGACAACAAAGCUUUGUGGAACUGGUUAAGUGUUAGCAUAAAAAUAUCUUUGCCUUUAUCAUGUUGAGCCUCCUUAAUAAAUGUUACUCUCUUUUGUAGGAUCAUAAAUUUAUUUUUAUAUUUACAUUUUUUAUAGGACAGGAAUAUAUUUAUUUUAUUUAUCGCCGCCACAGUGAAUGUACUUAUGGGUUUUAUGCCACGAGAAUACUCACAUGGGGCUUACUGUUUUUAACAUUUUUUAUUUUCUUUUCAACAUAGCAUGAUUAACUAACAAGCCAUUUAAGGAAAGUAAAUAAUUUGAGGGAAAAGGGAAUGCAGAAAGGAUAAAUAUGGAUAACUACCGAUUUUACCUUUCGGCGAGGGUUCAAUGUUUGAAGUCUCCUGAACAAGACUUCUCACUGUGUUCAUUCUUUAGGUGCAUCAUUUGAUUCAGGUGU
rnacentral:lncRNA from 1 species